rnacentral:rRNA from 1 species
UACGAAGGGGGCUAGCGUUGUUCGGAAUUACUGGGCGUAAAGCGCACGUAGGCGGCCUCUUAAGUCAGGGGUGAAAUCCUGGAGCUCAACUCCAGAACUGCCUUUGAUACUGAGGAGCUUGAGUCCGGGAGAGGUGAGUGGAACUGCGAGUGUAGAGGUGAAAUUCGUAGAUAUUCGCAAGAACACCAGUGGCGAAGGCGGCUCACUGGCCCGGUACUGACGCUGAGGUGCGAAAGCGUGGGGAGCAAACGGG